rnacentral:lncRNA from 12 species
AUGAUGCAUCCUAGGAAAGAAAACAGAGCCUGUGAUGAUGCUUCUCCAACAUGCCCACUGAUCACGACUGAACUGGCUUCACAUUUCAAGGAAAGCUUGACAGGAGUUAUACAAGUAAUCAGUGUGAGUGUGGGGACUUUUGGAAUCAUAAGCAAAGAUCCAUCUUCUCUGAAGUCAUGGGAGUUGUGCCUUUCAGAGAAAAGAACACAGACUGACAAAGGAAGACUAAUAUCCUUUAAUGCCUGAGAUGAAGCAUGAGAAGCUUGGUCAUUUGAAAAAUACCAAAGACAUUCUUGAGGAACAUGAAGCAAAGCAAAACUUUAUGUGCCUCCACCCCCUUUCAAUCAUUGACUGGAGAGAUAUCAAGGCUGAACUUUGAAAUACAUUCAAUCUAGAUUCAUGCAAGUUUUAUAAUUGUCAUGGCCUGAGAGAUCAUCCUUUCUCCUUUUAUAAAUGAGAAAACUGAAAACUAAAAUGUUGAGGAUCACACAACAUAAUAGUUCUAACGGAACUUGAACUGGAACCUAAUUUUCUUGCUUUUCCACUACUAUAGUUUUUUUUCCUCCCAAUUUUUGUAUUAUUUUAAAAGUGAGAAGAAACAUCACCAAAUUUCAAAUUCAAGAUCCAUGGAUGAGCUUAAAAGGUCCAUGAACUUCCAGAAAUUUUAAGUAAAAUGUUGUAUAUGUGCAUUUUUCUGAAAAAAUUUAUCAAAGGGCUUCCAUAAUCCCCAAAAAGGUUAAAAAAUGCUGCAAUAUACUUAUGUUGUAGGGGGAAAUGAUCUUGUAUCAACAAAUGAUCAUUUUUCUUUUCUCUUCCCUUCACUUCUUUUGAUGUAAAUUUUUACUUAAAUUAUUUUUCUUCAUAGGAGUCCAAGAAUCAAAAUAUAAAUUGGACUAUAUACUUGGCCACAUUUAGCGUCCAAAAUUCAGACAACUUUUAAUAGUUUGGGGAAAAUAUUUCUAUGCUCAUAUAAAACACAGGGAGGGGGUACCUGGGUGGCUCAGUUGGUUAAGCAUCUGCACUCAGCUCAAAUCAUGAUUCCAGGUUCCUAGGAUCAUUGGGCUCUCUGCCUCUCUGCUCAGUAGGAUACCUGUUUCUCCUUCUCCCUGUCACUUCCCCUGCUUGUGCUCUCUCUUUAUAUCAAAUAAAUUUUUUUUAAAAAGUUAGAAACA